GAACAGCUCUUGCAAAAAAAGAUGGCGAGAAGAAAAACAGCUGUUCUGCUAUCACCAAGGUUAUGAUGAGAAUACACCAUCAACAUUCAUGAGCACAUCUAUGCGUAGGCUUCAAGAAGUGUGCCCCUUGGGCACUCAAAGAAAUAUGAAAAUCUGCCACGAAGGAGAUCAGGACGCCAGAUGUGAGCAUUGGUACCAGGCUCAAUAAAGCUAUCUGGACCACAAGAAUAAGGAAUGUUCUAUAUUGCAUGUGAAUAUGUUUGUCCAGAAAACAUAAUGAGGAGGAGAUUCCCCAAACAAGCUCUACACACUUGUAACUUACGUGCCUGUUACCAGAUUAAAAAAUCUACUGAUUGCCAAUGUGGAUGAGAACCAACCUGAUGAAUGUCAAAUAAAGUUGUA
rnacentral:lncRNA from 1 species